rnacentral:lncRNA from 1 species
UUGACCUUGAGACUAGGUCAUGCCAGGGGACUGUCAGUGGUAGGCUUUCUAGGAGGGAGUUAAUAUUUGCAGAAGAUCUUGCUAUAAUUAGCUGGGUGUUAAGUUCUUGGACUAAUUGUUUUUGUUCUUGUAUGAUUGCCUUCCCAAGUUGUACUUUCUUUUAUUUUCCUUGUUUUUUUUGAAAGAUUGGGUUAUUGAUCUGUGCUUUCUUCUGUUGGCACCUUGAUUUUUAUUUUUUUCCCCUUCUCCUUGUUCAGCCACUGUACUAAUGGAUCCUUGAGUUGUAGGCAGCUCUUCUCUUAUUUAGUUGACUGCAUUUAAUAAGUUGUUGCAAUACCCAUACAAUAGUUCUCCUAGUGACCAGCUGGCCUGCCGGGUUCCAAGUUAACCUCCUUUCUUGCCCAUAGUUUCCUUGAUAGGAAUUCAGCACCAACUCAUAUAGGGUUAUCUAGUUAGGUUUACAAACAUUUGCGAAUUGUUUCCCAACUUUUGUGGAUCACAAUUUGAUAUAUAAGCCUUCACCAUUUUAAAUGUUGUAAGGCUAUUCUGUUGGAUAUCAAGGUUCAUAGUUAUAAUUACUUUUUUGUGGUUCAGCAAAAGUAUUAAGUAAUUAACUUUCAAGCCAGAAACAAGAGCCAUUGUACUCCACAACUAGUCAUUUUCUUUCUGCCAUUAGAUCUUCCCCAUUUAAAACAGAUGUAUCUUUGUAAGCUGCUGACAAGUUCGAGAAAGCUGUCUUCAUAUAGGUAAAAGCUUUGGCCAUGAAAUGGAUAUGAGAUGUCGGUUCCAUCGUGCCUCAACUCUGCAAAC